UUUUUAAUAUAUGUAUAGUUGUACAAUCACCACUACAAUCCAGUUUUAGAUCAUUUCCAUCAACCCAAAAAGACUUCUUGUGCCAGUUUG